CACCGAAGUCAAUCAUCAUUGGGCGCGGUCAGUACUUGGGUGGGUGACCACCUGGGAACACCGCGUGCCGUU